rnacentral:rRNA from 1 species
GAUGAACGCUGGCGGCGUGCCUAAUACAUGCGAGUCGAGCGAACAGACGAGGAGCUUGCUCCUCUGACGUUAGCGGCGGACGGGUGAGUAACACGUGGAUAACCUACCUAUAAGACUGGGAUAACUUCGGGAAACCGGAGCUAAUACCGGAUAAUAUAUUGAACCGCAUGGUUCAAUAGUGAAAGACGGUUUUGCUGUCACUUAUAGAUGGAUCCGCGCCGCAUUAGCUAGUUGGUAAGGUAACGGCUUACCAAGGCAACGAUGCGUAGCCGACCUGAGAGGGUGAUCGGCCACACUGGAACUGAGACACGGUCCAGACUCCUACGGGAGGCAGCAGUAGGGAAUCUUCCGCAAUGGGCGAAAGCUUGACGGAGCAACGCCGCGUGAGUGAUGAAGGUCUUCGGAUCGUAAAACUCUGUUAUUAGGGAAGAACAAAUGUGUAAGUAACUAUGCACGUCUUGACGGUACCUAAUCAGAAAGCCACGGCUAACUACAUG